rnacentral:lncRNA from 1 species
UUUUAUUUUCAUUCUUUCCAUAUCCAGAAAAGAAAUCAAUAAAAUUCAGUCUUUGUAGCAGCAUAGAAUUCCAUCAUUUGUAGUAUUGAUCCUAAUUUUGAUCAGUAGUUUAUGAAGUUGGUUCUUGCUGUAUUUCUGUAUCCUGGGAUACCACUUAUAGAGGAUUAUGAUGCAUAAGUAGAACGUAAUUUAAAAAUAAUAUUGGAGAAGGAAAGUAGUGGUAAGGAGUGGUCCUCAUCAGAUCUGAGUUUGAGGUUU